CUGGCAGGGACUAUCCUAAACCCAAAACCUUGGAGAAGCUGAACAAACAUGAGAAAGGACACUAAAAUCCACCAAUUUCACCUGCUGUGAGGAGGAGAUCAACACCAAGAAUCCAACAGAUUCCCAGCUGCUGUGUGAACAUUUUUUUCUCCCCUUCCCCUGAGACCAAGAGGGCAACCCACCAUCUUUACUUUCCAGCUGCAAGAAAGCUCUAAUGGGUUUGGGGACUAAAUACUGUGAAGAAAUUCUGAUUGGAUUAUCAGCAGUAUUUUUGGCUGGACUCAUCAUCUGGCUGUGACUCAAAUGGAGAAGUGAAAAGCCAGUUAUCUGAUAGGUUUGUCUGUAAUGAGCAGUGUUCAGAGAUCAUAGGGUGUUUUACACUGCUGAUGAGUCAAGCCAACAGAGAAGAGCUUCUGAGCUGGGACCUACAGUAGCUUCCAAGUGUGAGUCAUAGUCACUGGGGUGUCUAUUCUUUGCAUUUUCUGGGAAUCACAGAGUCAAGAAGGCUUGUCACAGCCAUCAGCUUUACCAGGAAGUUCUGAUCUAAAACAAAAAAUGACAAAGAUCAAGGGUGCAUCAACCAACAGGAGUGCAGACAGCUGCAAAAGUAAUGGAGUUUGGACUGUGAAUACUUGGCUGAG